UCACUUUUGACCUCGGAUCAGGUAGGGAUACCCGCUGAACUUAAGCAUAUCAAUAA
rnacentral:rRNA from 1 species